rnacentral:rRNA from 1 species
GGAUGAACGCUAGCUACAGGCUUAACACAUGCAAGUCGAGGGGCAGCAUUUCAGUUUGCUUGCAAACUGGAGAUGGCGACCGGCGCACGGGUGAGUAACACGUAUCCAACCUGCCGAUAACUCGGGGAUAGCCUUUCGAAAGAAAGAUUAAUACCCGAUGGUAUAAUCAGACCGCAUGGUCUUGUUAUUAAAGAAUUUCGGUUAUCGAUGGGGAUGCGUUCCAUUAGGCAGUUGGUGAGGUAACGGCUCACCAAACCUUCGAUGGAUAGGGGUUCUGAGAGGAAGGUCCCCCACAUUGGAACUGAGACACGGUCCAAACUCCUACGGGAGGCAGCAGUGAGGAAUAUUGGUCAAUGGGCGCAGGCCUGAACCAGCCAAGUAGCGUGAAGGAUGACUGCCCUAUGGGUUGUAAACUUCUUUUAUAUGGGAAUAAAGUUUUCCACGUGUGGAAUUUUGUAUGUACCAUAUGAAUAAGGAUCGGCUAACUCCGUGCCAGCAGCCGCGGUAAUACGGAGGAUCCGAGCGUUAUCCGGAUUUAUUGGGUUUAAAGGGAGCGUAGGUGGACAGUUAAGUCAGUUGUGAAAGUUUGCGGCUCAACCGUAAAAUUGCAGUUGAUACUGGCUGUCUUGAGUACAGUAGAGGUGGGCGGAAUUCGUGGUGUAGCGGUGAAAUGCUUAGAUAUCACGAAGAACUCCGAUUGCGAAGGUAGCUCACUGGACUGCAACUGACACUGAUGCUCGAAAGUGUGGGUAUCAAACAGGAUUAGAUACCCUGGUAGUCCACACAGUAAACGAUGAAUACUCGCUGUUUGCGAUAUACAGUAAGCGGCCAAGCGAAAGCAUUAAGUAUUCCACCUGGGGAGUACGCCGGCAACGGUGAAACUCAAAGGAAUUGACGGGGGCCCGCACAAGCGGAGGAACAUGUGGUUUAAUUCGAUGAUACGCGAGGAACCUUACCCGGGCUUAAAUUGCAUUUGAAUAUAUUGGAAACAGUAUAGCCGUAAGGCAAAUGUGAAGGUGCUGCAUGGUUGUCGUCAGCUCGUGCCGUGAGGUGUCGGCUUAAGUGCCAUAACGAGCGCAACCCUUAUCUUUAGUUACUAACAGGUCAUGCUGAGGACUCUAGAGAGACUGCCGUCGUAAGAUGUGAGGAAGGUGGGGAUGACGUCAAAUCAGCACGGCCCUUACGUCCGGGGCUACACACGUGUUACAAUGGGGGGUACAGAAGGCAGCUACCUGGUGACAGGAUGCUAAUCCCAAAAGCCUCUCUCAGUUCGGAUCGAAGUCUGCAACCCGACUUCGUGAAGCUGGAUUCGCUAGUAAUCGCGCAUCAGCCAUGGCGCGGUGAAUACGUUCCCGGGCCUUGUACACACCGCCCGUCAAGCCAUGAAAGCCGGGGGUACCUGAAGUACGUAACCGCAAGGAGCGUCCUAGGGUA